rnacentral:rRNA from 1 species
CAAUAGCGUAUAUUAAAGUUGUUGCGGUUAAAAAGCUCGUAGUUGGAUCUCGGCAGGCGGGGGGUGGUUCGCUCUUAGCGCUACUGCCCCAUUUGCCUGUGUGAUUGGCGGAGGUUUCGGGGUGCUCUUCGUUGAGUGACCCGGGGCGCCGUCAGGUUUACUUUGAAAAAAUUAGAGUGCUCAAAGCAGGCUUUUCACGCUUGAAUAUUCGUGCAUGGAAUAAUGGAAUAGGAACUCGUUUCUAUUUUGUUGGUUUUCGGAAAUCGAGUUAAUGAUUAAUAGGGACAAUUGGGGGCAUUAGUAUUCAGACGACAGAGGUGAAAUUCUUGGACCGUCUGAAGACUAACUACUGCGAAAGCAUUUGCCAAGAGUGUUUUCAUUAA